rnacentral:rRNA from 1 species
CCUACGGGGGGCAGCAGUGGGGAAUAUUGGGCAAUGGGCGCAAGCCUGACCCAGCAACGCCGCGUGAAGGAAGAAGGCUUUCGGGUUGUAAACUUCUUUUGUCAGGGACGAAGCAAGUGACGGUACCUGACGAAUAAGCCACGGCUAACUACGUGCCAGCAGCCGCGGUAAUACGUAGGUGGCAAGCGUUAUCCGGAUUUACUGGGUGUAAAGGGAGCGCAGGCGGAUUGACAAGUUGGGAGUGAAAACUACGGGCUCAACCCGUAACCUGCUUUCAAAACUGUCAGUCUUGAGUGGUGUAGAGG